UACGUAGGGGGCAAGCGUUGUCCGGAUUUAUUGGGCGUAAAGGGUGCGUAGGCGGCGCGGUAAGUCGGGUGUGAAAUCUCGGAGCUUAACUCCGAAACUGCAUUCGAUACUGCGGUGCUUGAGGACUGGAGAGGAGACUGGAAUUCAUGGUGUAGCAGUGAAAUGCGUAGAGAUCAUGAGGAAGACCAGUGGCGAAGGCGGGUCUCUGGACAGUUCCUGACACUGAGACACGAAGGCCAGGGGAGCAAACGGG
rnacentral:rRNA from 1 species